AUGGUUCAACCCAUCUGUCUUUGUGAACAACCUUUCAGUUACUCGCAAGAUGCACAACCACAGUUUUGGCAUCUACUGGGAGGUAUUGCAUAUUGUUCUGAUCAGAGGAAGCUGGAAAACAGUGGUUCACAUAAUUUAGUUGCAAGCUCCAAGGCAGGUGCAUGUUCACCUACUGAUAGGUACAUGGUGCUUGUGCAAUUGUUGACUCAUGUGAUCAUGCGUAAGGAAGCAGUACCCAGCCUAGUUCUUCAGUAUGCUCCAUGUACCAUGAUCCUAUUAUUGCCUUGGUAUGCAAUCUGUGAUUCACGAGAGAUGGACCCGGUGAUUUGUACCAAAGCUUGGGCGAAAUGCUGCUGUCAGCAUCUUACAUCAACAAAACCCUGUAAACUGUCGCUGGACAAAGGACGUCUAAACUGUGACAUUUUUUAUGGAGGAAUCAAUUCGGAAUUGUGGCACCCAUCGAGUAUGCAGUGUGUCCAGCCACCAAAUUUUGCUCUGACAUAUCCGAAAUGGGAUGCAGUAUGUGCUGCUGUUGUUCAUAUGUUUAAGCAGAGCACUACUCAGGACUGGGGGCGGCUGCUUUAUUUCAACCAGAGACCACCUGAUAUGUGUUUUGGAAUAGCAAAAUCCAGUACAAUCAGUCUGCGUAUUCCUGCUGUAUUUGUCUGGUUGAUUCCCACCUAUGCAAUCAUACAUAUUGCUGGCGCUCAGUGCAUGUGUUUGUGCAGUGCGCCAUGCUUGUUUGGAAAAUGGUGGAGCAAUAGAGAUCUGGUGUAUACAAUACAAGAAUGGACAUUUUACAAAAAUCACGUACUGGAGCAUGCUACUGUGGGUAAUAUUCCUAGUCCUGGAAAAUUGCAGAAGACAAUGCAGACUCUGAACAUCUUAGUAUGGUGGCAAUUUCGGGCUUAA
rnacentral:rRNA from 1 species